AGUGAACGCUGGCGGUAGGCCUAACACAUGCAAGUCGAACGGCAGCACAGUAAGAGCUUGCUCUUACGGGUGGCGAGUGGCGGACGGGUGAGGAAUACAACGGAAUCUACUUUUUCGUGGGGGUUCAGGUAGGGAAACUUACGAUAAUACAGCAUACGACCUACGGGUGAAAGCAGUGGAUAUUCGGACCUUGCGCGGUUGAAUGAGCCGCUGUGGGAUUAGCUAGUUGGCGGGGUAAAGGCCCACCAAGGGGGGGAUCCGUAGCUGGUCUGGGAGGCUGGUCGGCCACACUGGAAGGGGGACAGGGUCCAUGCUCCUAAGGUAGGCAGCAGUGUGGAAUAGUGGACAAUGGGGGGAAGCAUUAUCCAGUCAGACCGCGUGGGUGAAGAAGGCCCUGGGGUUGUAAAGCCCGUUUGUUGGGAAAGAAAAGCAUCAGGUUAAUACCCCGCUGUUCUGACGGUACCCAAAGAAUAAGCACCGGCUAACUACGUG
rnacentral:rRNA from 1 species